CUGAGCUGGAGAAGCAAAGCCGGUAACAGAUAAGGGACUGGUUUUCCUGUGGCCUUGUUUAUACAAGCUUAGGUUCUUGUUGGCUGGUUCCUGAGGGAGGUGGGGGAGGCCAGAAGGCAGUCUGGGGUUCCUGGAUGAGGUUUGCAUUCAGCUAGCCAAGGCCUCCAGGACUUAUAGAACCCACCCCUCUUUGACCUCCAGACUUUAAUACAGAAGAAGCUGGCUAGUUGAAGGCUUGAAUGCUCAGUGUGGUGGGAGGGGAUUCUUAACCAAGGAAAUGGCUGGUAACUACACGUUUCCUGGCCUGUGGAUCUGUUGGUCUCGAGGCAAUUGAGAAAGGAGUUCCAGCCACAACAGAACUAGUGAUAACAUGUUUACACCAAUUCAAGAAUUCCUUGCCCUGUGUUUCCUCGCCUCUCUGAAACAGGCUGAGUCUGCAGUGUCCCGUGUCUGUGGACCUGGGAGGUUGUGAGAAGCCAGUAGUAUGUGCUGUACUAAGGCUCAGCAUGGAGUCAUGGCAGAACAGAUCCAGUCUGUCCCUUGUGGAGAUUAAAGGCAGUGAAAUUAUUGUAUGACUCAUGGUCCAGUCAGGGCAUGCCCUGAAAGUCUUGUGAGGGUCCUAACCUGGGGUAAGAUCAUUUAACAGGGUCAAUAUGGAAAUGGAAUUUGAAAGGUUGGCAGAACUACCACACUGUCACCUGGGGUCCAGUGAAAGAGCCUCCCAAGCAGGUGAAGAAGUGGGAGAAAGCAGAGGGGAUAGCACAGGGUUGGGAGGAAGGAAGGCAAAAAGGAGACCUGGAGGUAGAGAAGGGCAUCAGUAAUAGACUACUUAGAACAGGAGAUGAGGGACCCCAGGGGACUGACUGUUCUCUCAACACAAGUGGGGAACUCUUCUCAUUCGGGGAAUGCAGGGGCUUGUGUUCCUCACCUGGUGGUCCUUCCUUGCCACAGCUUAGCAAUUGGUGUGUUCUGUGGCUGGGGGUUUGAAUGGGUCCAUAAUGGCAAUGGCUUAGAGAUGAUGUCCUGGGAGAUGUACAUCUCAGGAGCAGGAUGGAUGAGAGGCAAGCUGAGCAUGGAGAGGCAGUCCAUCAGGCAGGGUGCUGCUCCAGACACCCUGCAUCUGCCCACAGUUCCUGUCCUACCCUCUAGGGUGCAGUAGGAAAGGUACUAGAACCUCCCAGCCAGCUGACUCAACCCUUCCGUGUCCAUACGAUCAUCCUCAGGACUGACCAGCUUCCUUCCCUCUGUCUUCCCUCCCAUCCUCCUUCCCACUGAAUUCAACAGCUUUCAUCCUCGUUCUUUAUUGACACUCGACACCCGCACACAGUAGGUCCCUUCAUUGGGUUAGGCGUUGAGAAUAAUGGGUCAAGGCAUGCUAUCAGACUGUUGGGGUUAAACCCCCUAGCUUAUUGAACUACGGCAAACGUCUUCAUCUCUGUCCCGCACCCUCGAAGCAGGUUAACAGUGACAGUUGUACAGUCUGUUGGUGGAUUCCGUGGGAACACUCUUAUAUGGGCUUUGGUGCAUGGUAAGUGGUCCAUGGAUAUUAGCUGCUGCUGUUUAUGUGCAUGUGCUGUUUAUGUUCACUCUGGGAAGAGAGAUUGCUGAUAACAUUUCUUUUUGAGAAAAUAAUGCAACAAUGAAAAGAUUGCCGCCCCAAUAGCAAGUCUUGAUUUUUCCUAUCCAUUUCCAGCACUUACAGAGAUCCUAAUCUCAGAAUCCAGAGUCCGGAGAACUUUGUUUGCUUUGAUCUUCUCCACUAAACCUGCUGUGUGUAGACUCAGCAGAUGACUGUGAAUGUGGGAUCCACCCUCACAGCCAAGCUGAGGGAGAAAACUCCCUGGUGGAUGUACAAGCCCUCCCCUUCUUCGAGACAGCUCUGAGUCUUUACAGUCUUGGCAGGAGGGAAAGUGUGAUUUUUGGAGAAUCCUUUGUACUUGAAGUAACCCUCUCCCCCCAAGUUCUGAGGACGACGGACUAAGAACAUGGAGCAAAGGUGGUGACUGGAUGACAUUUUAGAGCACCUUCGCUGUGGCUUGGUCUCCUCACCAGGUGCUUGGGAAGCCGAUCCAGGAGAGCACCGGAAGUCCGGAAGUCCGUAGGCAGCUCUGAUCAAAGCGGCCUGUCUCCGGAGCCCCAUCUCCGCGCCUUCUAAGUCUCCUCUCUUCUUUCUUAAAAAAUUAAAGACUGUUUUACUCAUCCACUUUCUGACACGACAAUAAACGCCUUGAAACAACAA
rnacentral:sRNA from 1 species